rnacentral:rRNA from 3 species
UUUGGUGGCGAUAGCGAAGAGGUCACACCCGUUCCCAUACCGAACACGGAAGUUAAGCUCUUCAGCGCCGAUGGUAGUCGGGGGUUUCCCCC